UUUGUAUUCUGAAAUCAAACCUCAAUUCCUGAUAAACAUCAAAUAAGAAAUAGAACAUGACAAUGGACAACAAUCGCAUACCUAGAUCGAUCGAUCGAUCGAUCAGAAAGGGAUUAAUGGCCGCCAUGUUCUUUGGCGUGCUGCUGGUGCUCGUGAUGACGAC